rnacentral:rRNA from 1 species
UACGUAGGGACCAAGCGUUGUUCGGAUUUACUGGGCGUAAAGGGCGCGUAGGCGGCUUGACAAGUCACUUGUGAAAUCUCCGGGCUUAACUCGGAACGGCCAAGUGAAACUGUCAUGCUAGAGUGCAGAAGGGGCAAUCGGAAUUCUUGGUGUAGCGGUGAAAUGCGUAGAUAUCAAGAGGAACACCUGAGGUGAAGACGGGGUUGCUGGGCUGACACUGACGCUGGAGGCGCGAAAGCCAGGGGAGCAAACGGGG